rnacentral:rRNA from 1 species
CCUACGGGAGGUAGCAGUGAGGAAUAUUGGUCAAUGGCCGGAAGGCUGAACCAGCCAAGCCGCGUGAAGGACGACGGUGCCAAGCAUUGUAAACUUCUUUUGUCAAGGGACAAAACCAGGCUCGAGAGCCUGACCGAGGGUACUUGAAGAAAAAGCAUCGGCUAACUCCGUGCCAGCAGCCGCGGUAAUACGGAGGAUGCGAGCGUUAUCCGGAUUUAUUGGGUUUAAAGGGUGCGUAGGCGGGCUGUUAAGUCAGCGGUAAAAGUCCGGGGCUCAACCCCGGCGAGCCGUUGAAACUGGCUGUCUUGAGAUGUCGAGAGGUAUGCGGAAUGCGCGGUGUAGCGGUGAAAUGCUUAGAUAUCGCGCAGAACUCCGAUUGCGAAGGCAGCAUACCGGCGGCGAUCUGACGCUGAGGCACGAAAGCGUGGGUAUCGAACAGGAUUAGAUACCCGGGUAGUC